rnacentral:rRNA from 1 species
CAGAUAUUAGUCAAUGCUCGGCAGAGUGAAACUAGCUACUGAAAAUCACAAAUCACAAAUGUGCUUAUUGUGAUAACGUAAGGGAAAAAAAUGAUAUUAUCUUACUAUAAGUGUUGUCUAAAUAACUGGUGCCAGAAGACUCGGUAACACCAGAAACGCGAACGUUAGUCGUCUUAAACAGGCGUAAAGGGUAAGUAGGCUGCUUUAAAGUCUAUUUUAAAAUAAGCUAAUUAAUAAUAUUCCUUCCCACCCCUAGCUGAUGCUAGUCCUUCGGAGGGAGGGCCAUAUCUAGAAGUAUUAUAAAUUUACUCCUUAUAAAUUAAAUUAAGGCUAAAUUAAAUGAAAAUAGGGAAUUAUUAUUAGAUCCGCAGAACUUAUAAUAAUUAAUAAUUAAUAGGACAAAAAUAGAUACACUUAAAGCUAGAAUCAUAAUUGAGAUAAACCAAAUAAUACUUAUGUGUAAGGGCGAUAUCUGAAAAUACUAAGUAGAAUACUAACGGUGAAAACUUUUUAUCUGGUAAUGAUUGACGCUGAGGUACGAAAGUGAGAACAGGGAAUAGGAUUAGAUACCCAGUUACCUCUCACCGUCAACGAUGAAUGGUAGUUGUUAGUUUAAUAAAAUUAGUGACGAUGUUAACGCGAUAACCAUUCCGCCUUGAGAGUACGGUUGCAAAACUGAAACCAAAAAAAUUAGUCGGUCUCGGAGCAAACGAGUGAAGCAUGUUAUUUAUUCA